AGUCCUUAACUGACGCUAAAAGCUCGAAAGUGCGGGUAUCGAAACAGGAUUAGAUACCCCUGGUAGUCCGCACGGUAAAACGAUGGAUGCCCGCUGUAGGCGAUAUAGUGUCAGCGGCCAAGCGAAAGCGUUAAGCAUCCCACCUGGGGAGUACGCCGGCAACGGUGAAACUCAAAGGAAUUGACGGGGGCCCGCACAAGCGGAGGAACAUGUGGUUUAAUUCGAUGAUACGCGAGGAACCUUACCCGGGCUUGAACUGCAGCGGAAGGAUACAGAGAUGUUGACGUCCUUCGGGACCGCUGUGGAGGUGCUGCAUGGUUGUCGUCAGCUCGUGCCGUGAGGUGUCGGCUUAAGUGCCAUAACGAGCGCAACCCCUUUCUUCAGUUGCCAUCAGGUUUUGCUGGGCACUCUGGAGACACUGCCACCGUAAGGUGUGAGGAAGGUGGGGAUGACGUCAAAUCAGCACGGCCCUUACGUCCGGGGCUACACACGUGUUACAAUGGGUGGUACAGAGAGUCGGUCGUUUGCAAAUGCGAUCUAAUCCUUAAAGCCAUCCUCAGUUCGGAUUGGGGUCUGCAACCCGACCCCAUGAAGCUGGAU
rnacentral:rRNA from 1 species